rnacentral:precursor_RNA from 1 species
CAGGACAGUGGAGCCAGAUACAGAAUUGUAAUACUGUGCUGGACCCACUAUUCUGCU